rnacentral:rRNA from 1 species
UACGUAGGGGGCAAGCGUUGUCCGGAAUCAUUGGGCGUAAAGAGCGUGUAGGCGGCCCGAUAAGUCCGCUGUGAAAGUCCAGGGCUCAACCCUGGGAUGCCGGUGGAUACUGUCGGGCUCGAGUCCGGAAGAGGAGUGUGGAAUUCCUGGUGUAGCGGUGAAAUGCGCAGAUAUCAGGAGGAACACCGAUGGCGAAGGCAGCACUCUGGGACGGUACUGACGCUGAGACGGCGAAAGCCAGGGGAGCAAACGGG